GGAGGAGUACAUCCGUGAGCAGAUCGACUGGCAGGAGAUCACCUUUGCUGACAACCAGCCCUGCAUCAACCUCAUCUCACUGAAGCCUUAUGGCAUCCUGCGGAUCCUUGACGACCAGUGUUGCUUUCCCCAGGCUACAGACCACACCUUCCUACAGAAGUGCCACUACCAUCAUGGCGCCAACCCACUCUAUUCCAAACCCAAGAUGCCGCUGCCUGAGUUCACCAUCAAGCACUAUGCAGGCAAGGUCACCUACCA
rnacentral:lncRNA from 1 species